rnacentral:misc_RNA from 1 species
GAUGAAGAACGUAGCGAAAUGCGAUAAGUAAUGUGAAUUGCAGAAUUCAGUGAAUCAUCGAAUCUUUGAACGCACAUUGCGCCCUUUGGCAUUCCGAAGGGCACACCUGUCCGAGCGCCGUCGCACAACUGAGGCGCAGCCUUGCGUUGGCGGGCGACUUGUGAGUAGCGAGUCGCCGCCCAAACGAGACGGCGCCGCGCCGCGGCCGACUAAGCACGAAAGCGGAAGUCGACGCGGAGGCGGUUGCCUGUAGGAAGACACAGCUUGGCCUCGGAUCAGGUGGGGAUACCCGCUGAACUUAAGCAUAUCAAUAAGCGGAGGA